rnacentral:rRNA from 1 species
AGAGUUUGAUCCUGGCUCAGAGCGAACGUUAGCGGCGGGCCUAACACAUGCAAGUCGAACGAGAACGCUCCUUCGGGAGUUAUUAAAGUGGCGCACGGGUGAGGAACGCGUAGGUAAUCUACCCUCCGGCGGGGGACAACAUUCCGAAGGGAAUGCUAAUACCGCGUAAGACCACGCCCACUGCGGUGGAAGUGGUUAAAGACGGCCUCUUCUUGAAAGCCGUCACCAGAGGAUGAGCCUGCGUCCCAUCAGCUUGUUGGUGAGGUAAUGGCUUACCAAGGCGAAGACGGGUAGCUGGUCUGAGAGGAUGAUCAGCCACACUGGCACUGGAACACGGGCCAGACUCCUACGGGAGGCAGCAGUGAGGAAUAUUGGGCAAUGGGCGCAAGCCUGACCCAGCCACGCCGCGUGUGUGAUGAAGGCCUUCGGGUCGUAAAGCACUGUGGGGAGAGACGAACAAUUUCCGUCCUAAUACGACGGAGACCUGACGGUACCUCCUUAGCAAGCACCGGCUAACUCUGUGCCAGCAGCCGCGGUAAUACAGAGGGUGCAAACGUUGCUCGGAUUUACUGGGCGUAAAGCGCGUGUAGGCGGACUCGCAAGUCGGUUGUGAAAUCCCUGGGCUUAACCUAGGAACUGCAUCCGAAACUGCGUGUCUUGAGUAAUGGAGAGGGUGGCGGAAUUUCCGGUGUAGAGGUG